rnacentral:tRNA from 1 species
GCAUUGGCGGUUCAAUGGUAGAAGUCUCACCUUCUAUGCAGGAGAACCUAGUUUGAUUCUUGGCCAAUGCA